AAAAACCGACGAUGUCCCAUGUAGCAGAACUUCUUCCCAUGUUUCAACCACAAAUAAUCUGUAUCCUUGUGACAGUAAGGACAUGCAAAUUUUCCUUUUGUGCUCCAACCAGAAAGCAUCGCACAUGUAGGGAAGUCAUUGAUUGUCCAUAGCAGCAUAGCACGUAGUGUAAAGUUUUCCUUUGCCUUUACAUCCCUACAAUUAACACCAGUAUUCCACAACUCCUUCAACUCAUCAAUGAGGGGCCUCAAGUAAACAUCAAUAUUCAUUCCAGGACUUUUCUUGCCAGGUAUCAACAUCGACAUGAUCC
rnacentral:lncRNA from 1 species